rnacentral:rRNA from 1 species
GUGGGGAAUAUUGCGCAAUGGCCGCAAGGCUGACGCAGCGACGCCGCGUGUGGGAUGAAGGCCUUCGGGUUGUAAACCACUGUCAGGGGGGACGAAUACUCGGCUUCGAAUAGGAGACCGAGGGUGACGGUACCCCCAGAGGAAGCACCGGCUAACUCCGUGCCAGCAGCCGCGGUAAUACGGAGGGUGCAAGCGUUAAUCGGAAUCACUGGGCGUAAAGCGCGCGUAGGCGGCUCUGCAAGUCAGGUGUGAAAGCCCCGGGCUCAACCUGGGAAUUGCAUUUGAUACUGUGGGGCUAGAGUCUGUCAGAGGGUGGCGGAAUUCCGGGUGUAGCGGUGAAAUGCGUAGAUAUCCGGAGGAACACCAGUGGCGAAGGCGGCCACCUGGGGCGAGACUGACGCUGAGGUGCGAAAGCGUGGGGAGCAA